UACAGAGGUGGCAAGCGUUGUCCGGAAUUACUGGGCGUAAAGAGCGCGUAGGUGGCUAGAUAAGUCCGGUGUGAAAUCCUUCGGCUUAACCGGGGAAUGGCAUCGGGGACUGUUUAGCUAGAGGACGGGAGAGGAGAGCGGAAUUCCCGGUGUAGCGGUGAAAUGCGUAGAGAUCGGGAGGAAGGUCGGUGGCGAAGGCGGCUCUCUGGAACGUCCCUGACGCUGAGGCGCGAAAGCGUGGGGAGCAAACAGG
rnacentral:rRNA from 1 species